rnacentral:sRNA from 1 species
UCAGCCAUGGUCGUCGGCAUCCCGUCUGCUCGUUGAUAGAGCCUCUUUAGAAACAGAAGUGUGCUAAAGAGUUUCCAUGCAUGAAUCUCGCAAGCUUAACGCCAACAAGCGGAUGACUUUGCAAGAUAUUGCUUGGUCAAGCAGUCUACCAUGGUGGGACUGGCCACCAGCUUAAGACUGGGAUUUGGUCAAUAUUGUGGCAGGCUCUUGAAGCUUGAGAUACGAAGAUGCGGACCCAUCAGGAUAAGAAUGGAUCUAAAAAGGCAUCGAACGCUUUCUAAUUCAGCCUGUGAUGUGGGGAAGAAAGACAUCCGCUAUCGUUAGUCUGGACAUGAUCGAACCGAAGUGCUUAAAAAAGAGGCACUGGCGGUUUUCAAAGUUGGAGCUUCGAAUAGUAUGGCAUGUGGCCACAUACUAUGUAAAAUAAGUGCUAGAUAGGCGGGCCAAGGCAAUAGGCAUGGCUAGACUCUUGUCAGGAUUCUCAGCAAGGCUGAAAUGAUAGGCGGGUUCAACUAGUUGAGCUUUAAACGAGCAGUUAAGCGCCUCCGCUGGGUUCGUCUAUAAGCGAGCACGAGUUGAGUUCGAGACUCCAACUUGUUUGAACAGCCAAACAGGCCACC